GACGAACGCUGGCGGCGUGCUUAACACAUGCAAGUCGAACGGAAAGGCCCUGCUUUUGUGGGGUGCUCGAGUGGCGAACGGGUGAGUAACACGUGAGUAACCUGCCCUUGACUUUGGGAUAACUUCAGGAAACUGUGGCUAAUACCGGAUAGGAGCUCCUGCUGCAUGGUGGGGGUUGGAAAGUUUCGGCGGUUGGGGAUGGACUCGCGGCUUAUCAGCUUGUUGGUGGGGUAGUGGCUUACCAAGGCUUUGUCGGGUAGCCGGCCUGAGAGGGUGACCGGCCACAUUGGGACUGAGAUACGGCCCAGACUCCUACGGGAGGCAGCAGUGGGGAAUAUUGCACAAUGGGCGGAAGCCUGAUGCAGCAACGCCGCGUGCGGGAUGACGGCCUUCGGGUUGUAAACCGCUUUCGCCUGUGACGAAGCGUGAGUGACGGUAAUGGGUAAAGAAGCACCGGCUAACUACGUG
rnacentral:rRNA from 1 species